UACGUAGGUGGCAAGCGUUGUCCGGAAUUAUUGGGCGUAAGGCGCGCGCAGGCGGCCUCUUAAGUCUGAUGUGAAAGCCCCCCGGCUCAACCGGGGAGGGCCAUUGGAAACUGGGAGGCUUGAGUAUAGGAGAGAAGAGUGGAAUUCCACGUGUAGCGGUGAAAUGCGUAGAGAUGUGGAGGAACACCAGUGGCGAAGGCGACUCUUUGGCCUAUAACUGACGCUGAGGCGCGAAAGCGUGGGGAGCAAACAGG
rnacentral:rRNA from 1 species